rnacentral:rRNA from 1 species
AGAGUUUGAUCCUGGCUCAGGACGAACGCUGGCGGCGCGCCUAACACAUGCAAGUCGAACGAGAGAGAGGAAGCUUGCUUCCUCAAUCGAGUGGCGAACGGGUGAGUAACGCGUGAGGAACCUGCCUCAAAGAGGGGGACAACAGUUGGAAACGACUGCUAAUACCGCAUAAGCCCACAGGUCGGCAUCGACCAGAGGGAAAAGGAGCAAUCCGCUUUGAGAUGGCCUCGCGUCCGAUUAGCUAGUUGGUGAGGUAAUGGCCCACAAGGCAACGAUCGGUAGCCGGACUGAGAGGUUGAACGGCCACAUUGGGACUGAGACACGGCCCAGGACCUCCUACGGGAGGCA